rnacentral:rRNA from 1 species
UACAGAGGUCUCAAGCGUUGUUCGGAUUCAUUGGGCGUAAAGGGUGCGUAGGUGGCGCUGUAAGUCGGGUGUGAAAUUUCGGAGCUUAACUCCGAAACUGCAUUCGAUACUGCGGUGCUUGAGGACUGGAGAGGAGACUGGAAUUCAUGGUGUAGCAGUGAAAUGCGUAGAGAUCAUGAGGAAGACCAGUGGCGAAGGCGGGUCUCUGGACAGUUCCUGACACUGAGGCACGAAGGCCGGGGGAGCAAACAGG